GAUGAUUGAUCGUGCCCGCCAGCUGCCUAAUAUCAUAAUUAACAAAGUUGCUACCGUGUCUGAGAAGUUUAAUCGAAAAAAAUUGCCAGCAGUAUGAUGCCAUUGUCGCCCACAAAGAUCACAAGCGUGGCAGAGUCGACUUUUGGACUAAUGGAGCUGCAGAACUAUGUGGCUGGAAUGAGAAGCACUGCACCUGAAUGGCUA